GUGUCAGCCGCCGCGGUAAUACGGAGGGGGCGAGCGUUAUUCGGAAUUAUUGGGCGUAAAGGGCGCGUAGGCGGCUCGACGUGUCCAAGGUGAAAUCCCUCGGCUCAACUGAGGAACUGCCUUGGAAACUGUCGAGCUUGAGGCCGGGAGGGGGUAGCGGAAUUCCCAGUGUAGCGGUGAAAUGCGUAGAUAUUGGGAGGAACACCAGUGGCGAAGGCGGCUACCUGGACCGGUUCUGACGCUGAUGCGCGAAAGCGUGGGUAGCAAACAGGAUUAGAAACCCUGGUAGUCC
rnacentral:rRNA from 1 species